rfam:Lupinus angustifolius cultivar Tanjil chromosome LG04, whole genome shotgun sequence.
CGCGAGACAACUCUCUCUAAGGAACUCGGCAAAAUAGCCCUGUAACUUUGGGAGAAGGGGUGCCUCCUCACAAAGGGGUCGCAAUGACCAGGCUCGAGCGACUGUUUAUCAAAAAACGCAGGUCUCCGCAAAGUUGUAAGACCAUGAAUGGGGGCUGAUGCCUGCCCAAUGCCGAAAGAUCAAGGAAGUUGGUGACGUGAUGACAGGGGAGCCGACGACCACAAACCCGGUGAACGGCGGCCGUAACUAUAAUGAUCCUAAGGUAGUGAAAUUCCUUGUCGCGUAAGUUCCGACCCGCACGAAAGGUGUAACGAUCUGGGCACUGUCUCGAAGAGAGACUCG